rnacentral:rRNA from 1 species
AGAGUUUGAUCCUGGCUCAGAUUGAACGCUGGCGGUAGGCUUAACACAUGCAAGUCGAGCGGAAACGAUGUAGCUUGCUACAGGCGUCGAGCGGCGGACGGGUGAGUAACGCGUAGGAACCUACCUAGUAGUUUGGGAUAGCCCAGAGAAAUUUGGAUUAAUACCGAAUACGCCCUACGGGGGAAAGUGGAGGACCUUCGGGCUUCACGCUAUUAGAUGGGCCUGCGUAAGAUUAGCUUGUUGGUGAGGUAAUGGCUCACCAAGGCGACGAUCUUUAGCUGGUUUGAGAGGAUGAUCAGCCACACUGGGACUGAGACACGGCCCAGACUCCUACGGGAGGCAGCAGUGGGGAAUAUUGCACAAUGGGCGCAAGCCUGAUGCAGCCAUACCGCGUGUGUGAAGAAGGCCCUAGGGUUGUAAAGCACUUUCAGCGAGGAGGAAAGGUUGGUAGUUAAUAGCUAUUAGCUGUGACGUUACUCGCAGAAGAAGGACCGGCUAACUCCGUGCCAGCAGCCGCGGUAAUACGGAGGGUCCGAGCGUUAAUCGGAAUUACUGGGCGUAAAGCGUACGUAGGUGGUUUGUUAAGUUGGAUGUGAAAGCCCAGGGCUCAACCUUGGAACUGCAUUCAAAACUGAUGAACUCGAAUAUAGUAGAGGUAAGUGGAAUUUCCUGUGUAGCGGUGAAAUGCGUAGAGAUGGGAAGGAACAUCAGUGGCGAAGGCGA